GUUGUAUGGUUAAGUGACUAAGCGUACAUGGUGGAUGCCUUGGCAGUCAGAGGCGAUGAAGGACGUACUAACCUGCGAUAAGCCGUGAGCAGUCGGUAAGAGACAUUACGACUCACGGAUUUCCGAAUGGGGAAACCCACUUAGCAUAAGCUAGGUAUCGCUGCGUGAAUACAUAGCGUAGCGAGGCGAACCGGGAGAACUGAAACAUCUAAGUACCCCGAGGAAAAGAAAUCAACCGAGAUUCCCUCAGUAGCGGCGAGCGAACGGGGAUUAGCCCUUAAGCAUCUUGGAAGUUAGUGGAACGGUCCUGGAAAGGCCGGCGAUACAGGGUGAUAGCCCCGUACACGAAAACAACCUUGAUGUGAAAUCGAGUAGGGCGGGACACGUGACAUCCUGUCUGAAUAUGGGGGGACCAUCCUCCAAGGCUAAAUACUCCUGACUGACCGAUAGUGAACCAGUACCGUGAGGGAAAGGCGAAAAGAACCCCUGUGAGGGGAGUGAAAUAGAACCUGAAACCGUGUACGUACAAGCAGUGGGAGCCCUUCGGGGUGACUGCGUACCUUUUGUAUAAUGGGUCAGCGACUUACAUUUUGUAGCGAGGUUAACCGUAUAGGGGAGCCGUAGGGAAACCGAGUCUUAACUGGGCGUCUAGUUGCAAGGUGUAGACCCGAAACCGGGUGAUCUAGCCAUGGGCAGGUUGAAGGUUGAGUAACAUCAACUGGAGGACCGAACCCACUAACGUUGCAAAGUUAGGGGAUGACCUGUGGCUGGGGGUGAAAGGCCAAUCAAACUCGGAGAUAGCUGGUUCUCCCCGAAAGCUAUUUAGGUAGCGCCUCGGACGAAUACUACUGGGGGUAGAGCACUGUUUGGGCUAGGGGUCAUCCCGACUUACCAACCCCAUGCAAACUCCGAAUACCAGUAAGUAAUAUCCGGGAGACACACGGCGGGUGCUAACGUCCGUCGUGAAGAGGGAAACAACCCAGACCGCCGGCUAAGGUCCCAAAGUUCUGGUUAAGUGGGAAACGAUGUGGGAAGGCUCAGACAGCUAGGAUGUUGGCUUAGAAGCAGCCAUCAUUUAAAGAAAGCGUAAUAGCUCACUAGUCGAGUCGGCCUGCGCGGAAGAUGUAACGGGGCUCAAACCAGGCACCGAAGCCGCGGAUUCACGCUAAGCGUGAGUGGUAGGGGAGCGUUCUGUAAGUCUGCGAAGGUGUGUCGAGAGGCAUGCUGGAGAUAUCAGAAGUGCGAAUGCUGACGUAAGUAACGAUAAAGGGGGUGAAAAGCCUCCUCGCCGGAAGACCAAGGGUUCCUGUCCAACGUUAAUCGGGGCAGGGUGAGUCGACCCCUAAGGCGAGGCCGAAAGGCGUAGUCGAUGGGAAGCAGGUUAAUAUUCCUGCACGACUUGUAAUUGCGAUGGGGGGACGGAGAAGGCUAGGUGGGCCAGGCGACGGUUGUCCUGGUGAAAGUGCGUAGGUGGUGUUUCUAGGCAAAUCCGGAGACACAACACUGAGACACGAGACGAACACACUACGGUGUGGAAGCCAUUGAUGCCCUGCUUCCAGGAAAAGCCUCUAAGCUUCAGAUUACAAGUCAUCGUACCCCAAACCGACACAGGUGGUCGGGUAGAGAAUACCAAGGCGCUUGAGAGAACUCGGGUGAAGGAACUAGGCAAAAUAGAACCGUAACUUCGGGAGAAGGUUCGCUCUUGACAGUGAAGUCCCUUGCGGAUGGAGCAGUUGGGAGUCGCAGUGACCAGAUGGCUGGGACUGUUUAUCAAAAACACAGCACUCUGCAAACACGAAAGUGGACGUAUAGGGUGUGACACCUGCCCGGUGCCGGAAGGUUAAUUGAUGGGGUUAGCGCAAGCGAAGCUCUUGAUCGAAGCCCCGGUAAACGGCGGCCGUAACUAUAACGGUCCUAAGGUAGCGAAAUUCCUUGUCGGGUAAGUUCCGACCUGCACGAAUGGUGUAACCAUGGCCAUGCUGUCUCCACCCGAGACUCAGUGAAAUCGAAUUCGCCGUGAAGAUGCGGUGUACCCGCGGCUAGACGGAAAGACCCCGUGAACCUUUACUACAGCUUGGCACUGAACAUUGAACCUACAUGUGUAGGAUAGGUGGGAGGCUUUGAAGGCGUGACGCCAGUUGCGCUGGAGCCGUCCUUGAAAUACCACCCUUGUAUGUUUGAUGUUCUAACGCAGGCCCGUGAAUCCGGGUCGCGGACAGUGCCUGGUGGGUAGUUUGACUGGGGCGGUCUCCUCCCAAAGAGUAACGGAGGAGCACGAAGGUUGGCUAAUCCUGGUCGGACAUCAGGAGGUUAGUGCAAUGGCAUAAGCCAGCUUAACUGCGAGACGGACAGGUCGAGCAGGUACGAAAGUAGGUCAUAGUGAUCCGGUGGUUCUGAAUGGAAGGGCCAUCGCUCAACGGAUAAAAGGUACUCCGGGGAUAACAGGCUGAUACCGCCCAAGAGUUCAUAUCGACGGCGGUGUUUGGCACCUCGAUGUCGGCUCAUCACAUCCUGGGGCUGAAGUCGGUCCCAAGGGUAUGGCUGUUCGCCAUUUAAAGUGGUACGCGAGCUGGGUUCAGAACGUCGUGAGACAGUUCGGUCCCUAUCUGCCGUGGGCGUUGGAUGAUUGAAGGGAGUUGCUCCUAGUACGAGAGGACCGGAGUGAACGAACCUCUGGUGUUCGGGUUGUCACGCCAGUGGCACUGCCCGGUAGCUAAGUUCGGAAUCGAUAACCGCUGAAAGCAUCUAAGCGGGAAGCGAGCCCUGAGAUGAGUCAUCCCUGACCCCUUGAGGGUCCUAAAGGGCCGUUGGAGACCACAACGUUGAUAGGUGGGGUGUGUAAGCGCGGCGACGUGUUGAGCUAACCCAUACUAAUUACCCGUGAGGCUUAACCAUACAACACCCAAGAAGUGUUCUG
rnacentral:rRNA from 1 species